GUCGGGAGUUAGGACAUGCGACUUCGAUAAUACGGGUCUCACUUGACAUGCGCUUCAAAGGAAGCCACGGCUAACUCUGUGCCUGCAGCCGCGGUAAUACAGAGGUGGCAAGCGUUGUUCGGAAUUACUGGGCGUAAAGAGCACGUAGGUGGAUUUGUAAGUCGGAUGUGAAAGCCUUCUGUUCAUCGGAUGAAUUGCAUCCGAAACUGCAAACCUUGAGUAUAGGAGGGGAGAGUGGAACUUCUGG
rnacentral:rRNA from 1 species